rnacentral:lncRNA from 1 species
CAGCAGGGGCCUCACAGUCUAGUAAUAAGGACACAGCAAUUACAGGAACUUCUAGAGCCAGUUCUCUUCAGGAGCAUGCCAGGCUGAAGCUUUGUCCUAUGGAGAAGCAGAAAAGGUCAGAGGAGGAGAAAGAAAGAGCCCUUCCCGGUCAAGGAGCCAGCCAGGGAGGGAGACAAAAGGAAGGAGGCUCCAUGGAGAUGCAAUGUGAUUAGCUGGCCUUCUGCUCUGACCACCGUGACUUCCCUGCCUGAAACCAUGUCUUCCCCUCCAUGAUACAAGUCACAAGAUGAAAUAAAUCCUUCCUUCCCUAAAAUGGGUAUUUUUGUCUCAUCAACAAGAAAGUUAACUUAUGUAAAGCUGGCUCUAGGGAAGUCAUUAGGAUUUGAUGAGGUCAUGAGACUAAGGUCCUGGUGAUGGUAGUAGUGGCUUUUGUAGAAGGAAAGGAGGAGGAGAAGGAGAAGGAAGAAGAGGAGGAGGAGGAGGAAAAGGAAGAGGAAAAGGAAGAGGAGGAGGAAGAGGAGGAGGAGGAGGAAAAGGAAGAGGAGGAGGAAGAGGAGGAGGAAGAGGAGGAGGAUCCAUGCUGUCUCACCACAUUGCCCCCUGGUUAUACUAUGAUGUUUCAGAUGAGUCUUCAUCAGAUGCCAGGCAGAGCUGGCACCAUGCUUGGGCUUUCAGCCUCCAGAAAAAUAGCAAAAGAAAUUUCUAUUCUGUUCUCUUUUCCAGAAAAACAAGCAACAACAAUAAAACCCCACAUUUGUUCUAAAGCAAUGAUAGAUAAAGAGAAACCUCUUCUUUUCAUAAUGACAACAGAUAAACACAGAAAGAAUAUGGAGUUCUUUUAAAAAAUAAAAUCACAAAUUUGCCAACAUUCUAAUAAAAGUUAUUAAGAUACAGGAUCAUCAAAUGAUACUAAAUCUAGGAAGGGCAGGUGUGAGGAGCUACAGAAUUGUCAAGACAAUAUCAGCAUUUCUUAUAAAACAGUAACUGGGAGAAAUAGUAACUAGACAAUGCAGAAAAUAGACAACCUCUUUUCUGUGUGAUGGAAAUUAACACCAAUAACAAGGACUAUUCUGCUCAUCUGAGCUUGGUACCCAGGGUUGCAUCACUUAAUAGUAUUCUCACCCACACCACACAAUCCAAAUCUACCCACGAGGAAACAUCAGGAAACUCCAGUGAAGCUGAUCGUCUUCAAAGACAUCAAUACAACAAAAGACUGGAAAGGGCAGAGGAAUGGCUCCAGAUCAGCAUCAUGACAGCACAAUCUACAAUCCCAGACUGGAUCCCGCCUCUGAGAAAUUACCAGCAGAGCAAAUGAAAUCGGAAUAGAGACUGCAGAUCAGAUGAAAGUCCCGUCUGAAUGGGAGACUGCAGGAUUUAUAUGCUUCAGUGAGACUGUGUGCUUGCUCUUGUGAAUGCAGUACCAAUGAAGACCUGCAUAGGAGGGCCUGAGUCUGCUCAUUGGACCAACUUGUGAGAGGAAAGUAUUCAGGUAUGUCUGUAAAAUGAGAGGCAUACAGGUUUAAGUCCUAGGUUGACCUAAAGUUAAUCAACCCAACUUUUAAUGGGUCUGUGAUACUCUGAUUGGGUUCAAUUGUAAAUUCCUCAUUAAACUUCUAUUCCU